rnacentral:rRNA from 1 species
UACGAAGGGGGCUAGCGUUGUUCGGAAUCACUGGGCGUAAAGCGCACGUAGGCGGAUUUUUUAAGUCAGGGGUGAAAUCCCGGGGCUCAACCUCGGAACUGCCUUUGAUACUGAAGAUCUUGAGUCCGGGAGAGGUGAGUGGAACUGCGAGUGUAGAGGUGAAAUUCGUAGAUAUUCGCAAAGAACACCAGUGGCGAAGGCGGCUCACUGGCCCGGUACUGACGCUGAGGCACGAAAGCGUGGGGGGAGCAAACAGGG